UUUGGGAAAUGAUGAUCAAAUUUGAUUGACAUAAGCUUAUGCUGUGCUGAAUUUUCUAUUGAUUUGCACGUCAGUCUGAUCCUGAA